AUCUUGAAUAUGUCCUGUUAACUCAUCCAUUACCAACGCAAAAAGGUAAGGACUUAAGGAUUGUUGAUGCACAAAAUCAGUGAGGACUUUGGUACAACAGAGAGUAUUAAGUUUGUGAUCUUCGCUAGAUUGCUCUGGUCAUUAGUGUGGAUAAGUACGUAAAUGGAUAGAGACAGGAAAGCAAACACAAGAUGUAUGUGGUUCACCCAGAUUGGCUACGUCCACGGAGUAGAGGAGUUCUCAUUAAUUCUGAAGGGUUUACGCAAGUACAUAGGUUCAAGCUCUCCUUUAGUGAGUACAAGUGAAUGAUUUAGUACAAAUGACAUAGGUGCAGGCUCUCGUCUUCACUUGCCUUAACUGUCUCAUAGGUAGAUGUGGCAUCUUCUCUGGAAGUACGCUUCCUCCAUCCAGGGGUGGUAUCUUUAACUAGUGGAGAUGCACAAGGUAAUGUAUCAAUUUCACUUGAAGCUUACUUGUAGUUUCAGGCUUGGUCAAGCGCGAUACAAACCAUGUAGUAGGAGUCCCCCAAGUCGCCGAGCUAGGGGAUCUGCUGAAAGAGGUGACAGACAAGGUAAGCAAUCAGAGCUCCAAGCAAUCAGUCCCAGGUCAAAAGUUUGAUUUUGAGUUCCGGCUGAUUGUUCUCAUUCUCCCUAUCUUGCAGGCAGCAUGAAGGAUAAAUAGAAGAAAAGGAGAAUAGAUGAUAUGAGAUACUUUUGCUUUUGAAGAAGUAACUUUCCACAGGCUUAUUCUUGAACUGGGCUCGAGGAUUUUCUGGUUUCCUCCAGAGUAUAAGGCCAACUGAAGAAUUUGAGGGUCAAAACACGUCCAUCAAAUCUAGAGUACGUUCGACCCUGCUGAUAUGGGAUACUUUUACUGUUGACAAAGUAGUGGAUGUAUCGGCACGUGUUCUGUUACGCUUGUCUCACAUGCUUCCUUGUAUCCUUCUCACUUUCCCUAUCUGUUCCUCAGGUAGAUGUGGUAUCUUCUCUGGAAGCAUAAGAUGUUGAAGAUGGGUACUUGAGAGCAAUGCCAGGUAAGUAAUCAGGUAAGGGGUUCCAGGCAGUCAGUUCCUGAUUGGAAGCUUGAUUCCAAGUGCUGACUGAUUGCUCUCUUUCUCCUUGUCUUGCAGGUAAGAACAAGGCCAAAGGAAAAGACAAGGAAAAAGCAUGAUAUAGGAUACUCUUGCUUUUAACCCUGAUGAUAUGAGAUAUUCUUGCUCUGGUGUAGCUUGUUUGUAGAGGUAUUAUCGAGGGGAAAAAAUGCUGAGUAUUUCGAAAGGCUUCGUUGGGAGUGCCCUUUCAGAUAUGAGGAAGGGUUGAGCAUUUUUGCAGGUCUGCCUAUCCGUUGAGGAUGGAGGCCGACAUAUAUAGGAGUUUCCCUAACAACAAGUAGUAAUGUUAUUCCUUUACCCUGCUUGGUUAUAGCACGGUAGUGGGAGCUGCCAGCUUCACGUGUGUCAGAGCACUUUGAAAAAGUGGUCUGUGGUAUCUGGAAAGCUGAUGUUGCGUGUGAAGAUUAUAGACAAGCUUUAUCCAAGGAGAUCUGGCUCUCGAAGUUGAGAAAGCAGUGCCUCUUCGGUUUUCGUACAAGCAAUCCUGUCGGAGAUCUGGCUCUCGAGAUUCGGAAAAUGGUGCCUCUUCGAUUUUUGAGAGAGCAAUCCUACUGGGAGUCUAGCUCUCGAGAUUCGGAGAGUGGUGUCUCUUCGAUUUUUGAGAAAGUAAUCAUGUUGGGAGUCUGGCUCUCGAGAUUCGGAGGACGGUGCCUCUUCGAUUUUGGAGCAAGCAAUCUUGUUGGGAGUGUUUUCUCGAAUGUAAGUAAAGGUUGGGCAUGUUUGCUAGUGUACCUUGCCACAGAGCGCAGAGGUUGACACACAAGGACUUUCCAAUUAUCCAGCAGCGGUGCUGUUCCUUUACCCUUGUAGGUAAUAAUAUGGUAGCUAGACCUUCAAAAUUUAUGUAUCUAAACUUUGUUAGUGCUGUUUCUUUGCUAUUCUUUUACCCUUCUUGGUCAUAGCGAUGUAGUGGGAGCUGCAAGCUUCACGUGUCUAAACUUUGUCAGAGAUCUUUGGAAAAGUUAUCUAUGGUACCCAUGAGCUGAUGGUGCGUGUGGAAAGUGGAUGAUUGAACAGUAAGAUUCACGUGCUUUCUACUUCACCAGAAAUCUUCAACAGAAUGCCCGUAAUUUCAGCAAAGCUGAGUGUGCAUGUGACAGGUGCUGACGAGGCUGAAAAAAGCAGGUGCCUCUUCGAUUUCUAAGAUCGGCCCUCGUGGUCUCUGAGCAGCCCAGCUUUUGAAAAAGCAAGCGCCUCUUCGAUUUCUGAGAUCGGCCUUCGUGGUCUUUGAGCAGCCUAGCUUUUGAGAAAGCAAACACCUCUUCGAUUUCUGAGAUCCGCCCUUGUUGUCUCUGAGCAGCCCAGCUUUUGAGAAAGCAAAUGCCUCUUCGAUUUCUGGGCAGGCGCUUCUUCGAUUUCUGAAACUCCGUCGAGUGCAGAUUUUUAUAGAGGCUGGCAUAAGUUCCAAAGCACACUUGAAUCUUCACCAGCAGAAGCUCCCUUCUUACACUUCUAAGAUCUUGAUUUGUUCGACCUCUUCUCUCUUCAACACCUUUGAAAAUGUCUGGCCCCUCCGACCGUCGUUUUGACUUGAACCUCGUUGAAGAGGUAGCCACACCUUCUCCAGACAACAUAUGGCGCCCAUCCUUCUUAUCCCCUACUGGUCCGCUUACCGUUGGGGAUUCCGUGAUGAAGAAUGAUAUGACUACUGCGGUGGUGGCCAGGAACCUUUUCACUCCCAAAGAUAACAGACUACUUUCCAAACGGUCUGAUAGGUUAGCUGUUAAGGAUUCUCUGGCUCUAAGUGUUCAGUGUGCAGGUUCUGUGUCUAAUAUGGCUCAGCGCCUAUUUGCUCGAACCCGCCAAGUUGAAUCAUUGGCGGCUGAAGUGAUGAGUCUCAAACAAGAGAUUAGAGCGCUCAAGCAUAAGAAUAAACAGUUGCACCAGCUCGCACAUGACUAUGCUAUAAACAUGAAGAGGAAGCUUGACCAAAUGAAGGAAUCUGAUGGUCAGGUUUUACUUGAUCGUGAGCGGUUUGUGGGUUUGUUCCAAAGGCAUUUAUUGCCUUCGUCUUCUGGGGCUGUACAGCGUACUGAAGCUCUAAAUGAUCAACCUUCGAUGCCUCUUCCUUCUAGGGUUCUGUCCAGUACUGAGGCUCCGAAUGAUCCUCCUCCGGUGCCUUCUCUUUCUGGGGCUCUACCGACUGCUGAGACUUCUCCUAAGCAACCUUUGUGAAGGCUCCCUCUUAUUUGUUUAUUUUGACUCAUGUAUAUGUACAUAUUUGUAACUUAUCGGAGAUAUCAAUAAUUAGGUUUUGCUUCAUUUCAACGUAUUGUGUUAAAUACACCAAAGCCUUCUUCACUGAGUGGGGUCGGCUAUAUGAAUCUUAGAACGCCAUUGUGCUCGGUCCUGUGUCAUGUCCUUCGUUAGAUCCAAAUACUCUAAGUCUUUUCUUAGAGUCUCUUCCAAAGUUUUCCUAGGUCUUCCUCUACCCCUCCGGCCCUAAACCUCUGUCCCGUAAUCGCAUCUUCUAACUGGAGCGUCAGUAGGCCUUCUUUGCACAUGUCCAAACCACCGUAACCGAUUUUCUCUCAAUUUUCCUACAAUUUCGACUACUUCUACUUUACCUCGGAUAUCCUCAUUCCUAAUCUUAUCCUUUCUCGUGUGCCUACACAUCCAACGAAGCAUCCUCAUCUCCGCUACACCCAUUUUGUGUACGUGUUGAUGCUUCACCGCCCAACAUUCUGUGCUAUACAGCAUCGUCGGCCUUAUUCCUGUCCUAUAAACUUUUCCCUUGAGCUUCAGUGGCAUACGGCGAUCACACAACACGCCGGAUACACUCUUCUACUUCAUCCAUCCAGCUUGUAUUCUAUGGUUGAGAUCUCCAUCUAAUUCUCCGUUCUUUUGCAAGAUAGAUCCUAAGUAGCGAAAACGAUCGCUCUUUGGUAUUUCCUGAUCUCCGAUCCUCACCCCUAACUCAUUUUGGCCUCCAUUUGCACUGAACUUGCACUCCAUAUAUUCUGUCUUUGAUCGGCUUAGGCGAUGAUAGGAGCAUAUUUAUGCGACUUAGUUAGCUUGUUUUCUUGCAUUUUCAUAGUUUGUUUAUGUUUAUUAUAGUGUUUUAAGCUAUUUUCGUGGGUUUGUAGGUUCAUAUGACAAAGUUGGCAAGAAAGUGCAUUUUGGAGCAUUUUGAGGCAGUUUUGGGCACCAAAUGGAUAGCUUAUGAAUGAAGCAAGAUGGAUGGACGAAUUUGAUGUUCAAGAGGCUAGGAAUGUGCUGAAAUGAGUGAAGAAAUAAAUCCAAGUCAAGGAAGAUAAGAAAUCAGCUCAAAAGAAGGAACAUUAUCCAAAACCUUAUCCAACCUUAUCUUAUCUUAUCCUAAUCCUAUCCUAAUUUAAUUCCAGCUGCAUGGGGGAUUUAUUUUCAAAUUAGGACACAUUAAAAUUGGUUUCUAGAAGCCCUUAUCCACUCCUACAAAGGUGCCACACCUUAUCCCUUGUUUUUCUAAAAAUCAGCCACAAAACAACCUUUCUAGAAGGCCUUAUCCCUUGUCCUACAAAAGUGACGCCCCAAACCUUUCUAGAACUUCUAGAAACCUGAUUAUUCAUUUCCCCCUUGGUUUUUAAAAGCCUUAGCCUUUUCCUUCAAGGAUUGUGUGUUAUUAUCCUAUACAAAUUAGGCCUUUAAAUCCUUUUCCUUUGCUACAUAGGGGCUGCGAAUUUCAGCCUAUAAAUACCAUCCUUCGCUGCACCAUUUAGUCACCACCCUCUACCAUAUUUUCUCUACACCAUUCACCCAAACAUCCCUCUUUUGCCGUGAGCUUGCAAAGGAGAAGGAAGGAGACUCUUGGAGCCGUGUAUGCCAUUCAAGGAACUUGGAUUGUUGGAGCAUUUCUAGGUGUUUUCUAUCUUUAUGUCAAUGUUUAGAUUUAUUUAUCUUUGUUUAUUUGCGAACAUGAGGAACUAAUUUCUUUAUAGUUAGAGGGGAAUUCAAAGCCAUGAUCAUAUGUUUUAUAUGACUUGAUUUCCUCCAGUUAUGAUUUCAUAAAUAGUGAAUGUGGUUUACUCAUCUAUUUGAUUGAUAACUUGUUCUUGUGUGUUAAUUAAGGAUGCAUAUUUAGUUCGCAUGCAUGAAUUUGAUGCUAGAGUAUAAGGGAAUUUCACCUAAUCGUUAUUAACUUAUAUUCAUAAGUAGUAAAAGUCGCUAGUCACGAUUGUGUUAAGUAAAUCCUUGGCAAGAGUAACAUGCGUAUUCCAUAGUUAUGAAUGCCUCGUCAAUGCUUAUGAUUUCCAUUGAACUUAAUGAUCUUUGAUAUGUGUCUCUAUCAUGCGUAUUCCAUAGUUAGGGUCCUUGAUAAGAAUAAUUUGGUUGCAAUGCGUAUUCCAUUCAAUUCAAUGAAUCUAGGGAAAUCUGAGAAUUAAUUGUUGCAAUCUAGUUAAUUUGGGGCAUUGUCAUUCAUGGUUUGUUGAAAGAGUAACUGGAAAUCGAGUCGUAUGCAUAUGUUUCAUGUGUGGAGAAGGAACCCUCUAACUAGCCUUUCACCAUUCUUUUUCAUCCAAAAUCGUUUUUGUUAAGUUGUUUUUAAAGUUUAUGUUUUAAAGUCCAAUUUCGUCAAAACCAAACCCCUUACUUUUAAGUCUUGUUCUUAGAGUCAAAACUUGUUUCCUUUAAGUCUUUUGAGUCUUUGAAGUUCUAUUUUCGUCCAAAUCACUUGUUAGGUCUAGAAUUGAGUCUUUUUUAUUGUUAUUUGCUGUUUUGAGUGUUUUGAGUUAGUUUUGAGUCUAUAGAGUCUAGUUUAGUGUUUUUGAGUCUUAUUUGUGUUGAUUAGCAUCCCUAGUUAAUCCCCGGUCUAUAACGAUCCCUACUUGCAUCAUUACUACAAUUGUCAUCAAUAGGGUUUAAUUUGUGUGUCAACUUAAUUCUCACAUCAGGCGAAGACCUUUAGAUUCCAACACUUCUCUCCAAAGGUUAAGCUUCGCAUUUACCCCUUUCUGAGUUUCAUCUAUCAACACUAUAUCGUCUGCGAAAAGCAUACACCAAGGAAUAUCAUCUUGAAUAUAUCAUGUUAACUCAUCCAUUACCAACGCAAAAAGGUAAGGACUUAAGGAUGAGCCUUGAUGUAAUCCUACAGUUAUGGGGAAGCUUUCGGUUUGUCCUUCAUGAGUUCUUACGGUAGUCUUUGCUCAUUCAUACAUAUCCUUUAUAGCUUGGAUAUAUGCUACUCGUACUCCUUUCUUCUCUAAAAUCCUCCAAAGAAUGUCUCUUGGUACCCUAUCAUACGCUUUUUCCAAAUCUAUAAAGACCAUGUGUAAAUCCUUUUUCCCAUCUCUAUAUCUUUCCAUCAAUCUUCGUAAGAGAAAGAUUGCCUCCAUGGUUGAGCGCCCUGGCAUGAACCCGAAUUGGUUGUCCGAAACCCGUGUCUCUUGCCUCAAUCUAUGCUCAAUGACUCUCUCCCAGAGCUUCAUUGUAUGGCUCAUUAGCUUAAUACCCC
rnacentral:lncRNA from 1 species